UAAGUCUGACGGAGCAACGCCGCGUGAGUGAUGAAGGUUUUCGGAUCGUAAAACUCUGUUGUCAGGGAAGAACAAGUACCGUUCGAAUAGGGCGGCACCUUGACGGUACCUGACCAGAAAGCCACGGCUAACUACGUGCCAGCAGCCGCGGUAAUACGUAGGUGGCAAGCGUUAUCCGGAAUUAUUGGGCGUAAAGCGCGCGCAGGUGGUUUCUUAAGUCUGAUGUGAAAGCCCACGGCUCAACCGUGGAGGGUCAUUGGAAACUGGGAGACUUGAAUGCAAAAAAGGAAAGUGGAAUUCCAUGGGUACCGGUGAAAUGCUUAAAGAUAUGAAGGAACACCAUUGGCAAAGGCGACUUUCUGGUCGGUAACUGACACUGAGCCCCGAAAGCGUGGGGAGCAAACAGGAUUAAAUACCCUG
rnacentral:rRNA from 1 species